GAGGCCUGGAUGAGUAGGUGCCAACUGAGCUGAGUCCAGAAAACUUUACUCUUAAUCCUACAAGUAGGGGUGAGGGGGUGGGUGGGAAAUGAGUCCAGUUAGCCUUUAAGGCCAAUGACAGUGGGAAAAGUUUUGUAUUCACGAAUGGCAAACCAGGUUGCUUUUAGGAUUUGGCUUAACAAAAUAAACACUCUACAUCUUUAAACAGGGCUUCUCAAUUUAAGGAGCCACUAUUUCUUCUCAUAAAAGUCACUUACUUUUAAAUUUUUGCUAAUUAGUGUAGAGGUACUUAAGUGGAGACAAUUACUGGAAGGAUUUCUUUAGAGCCCGGACAGCUCACUUGACACCAUCCAAAAUCUGAAAGAGACAGGACCCAACCCUGGAGCGAAUCAGCGCUUCUCCAGCAACUCAUUAACGCAGCUAGGCUGAAUCGUGCAACCCUCUCAAGAAUGUGAAACAAGCCUCGGAAAAUCUGAGGGGCCUGACACCCCCAAAGUUAUUACAAAAGGAAAGAAAAAACACCGCCCCCUUUGCACUAACUCGCUCCCGCCCUCCCUCAUUGCCCCCCUUCCCCAGGCGUCAUCACUGCAGAAAGGCCGCUGUCUCCCGGGUCAGAGGCACACGGCGAGUACGCGCGCGUGUGUACCCCGCAUGAAUCAUCGGCGCCCAGUCCGCGGGACGAUGAUUCAUUCACCGCCCUGGAGCUCACGGCCACACGCUCGCGGCGUACUAUGACCGCCGCACACACAGCUUCCUUAAUACUGAACAAAUGUUUCAAAGUACAAACGCUUAGAGCCAGAAACGUGUAGACCUACGCGAGCCGGAGGAGAGGAAACCACGUUUCGGCCGCUGCCCGAGUGCUCCCGGGCCGGGGAGGGGAGCGGCGAGCACGUCCGCCCUUCGGCACCCCUUUUCCGGCACGCGCGCGGGCAGCUCCCGCAGGGGGCGCGGAGGGCGCACAGGACUUCUUCAGUGGUGGCAGCAGGAACAGUGGAUCCAAGCAGUCAAGGAACUUCUGUGUGACCACGAUGCUGGUGUGCAGUGGGUUUCCAGGCAUGAAUUCGAUGAAGCAGUGCAGAAAACCACAGCAGCCAUCAAAGGACCAUCCAGAAGGGAGUGGACUGGGAGGCCAGUGUAUCAAAUAUCAUCUUUUGAGGUAGGUGGGUACAAAAACCUUUACACUUAUUAUCUGAGCAUCAUAGAUACCCAGACUGGUUGUAG
rnacentral:lncRNA from 1 species